UCCCAGGUGGCUCAGUGGUAAAGAAUCAGCCUGCCAAGCAGGAGACCUAGGUUCGAUUCCUUGAUCGGGAA
rnacentral:tRNA from 1 species